AUGCCUCUGCACCCGCAGGCCAUCUCAAAGGACGCCAUGAAUCUGGCACAGAUGAAGGAGCAGACUUUGCAGCCGGAGCAACAGUCCAAGCUCAAACUUGUCUAUGAGGAGAACUUACAGAAGCAGGAGUCCGUGCAGAAGCACCAUCAGACCUUCUUGGCGUCCAUUAGGACGGUUCUCAACAUGUUUGGGGAAAGAUUCUGUGCCUUUGUAAACAGACUGGGACACAGUGACAGCCACGGUGGUUGGGCUGACGCUGCUGGCUGGCGGGGUCUACUCUGCCAAGAAUGGAACAGCCGCCGGGGCCCACUUCAUUGCGACUCGGCUAUGGAAACCGUCCCUGGUGAACGAGAAGUCCCGCAUCACAGUGCUGGAGGCCCAGUGGCACCCCUUCCAGGUCCGCCGGCAGCUCCUCAGUCGGCCCUAGGACGUACUGGAAGGUGGUGUGCUGAGUCCCAGCCUGUAAGCGCGGGUGCGCGGCAUUGUCAUAGCAACAAUGAACAACGAAGAAGGACGGCAGCCUGUACGAGAACGUCUUGAUGUACGGGCCAUCAGGCACAGGAAAGAAGCUGUUUGCAAAGAAUCUUGCCCUGAACUCGGGCAUGGACUACGCCAUCAUGACAGGCAAGGACGUGGCCCUCAUGGGGCGGGAAGGCGUGACUGCCAUGCACAAGGCUGUUUGACUGGGCCAAUACCAGCCAGCGCGGCCUCCUGCUCUUCGUGGAUGAAGCGGACGCCGUCCUUUGGAAGCCAGCCACUGAGAAGAUGAGCAAUUACCACCUCAAAGCCGCAGAGAACGCCUUUCUAGAGUACACACAACAGAGCAGCAACAGAUUCAUGCUGGUCCUGGCCAGCCACCACCCCAAGCAGUUUUACGAGGACAUCCGCAACCGUAUCGAUAGGGUGGUUCAUUUCGACCUGCCGGGGCAGCAAGAGCGAGCGCCUGCUGAGAAUGUAUUUUUACAAGUAUGUUCUUAAGCUGGCCACAGAAGGAAAAGCAGCGUCUGAAGCUGGCCCAGUUUGACUACUGGAGGAAGUGCCCAGAGAUCGCUCGGCUGACAGAGGGCAUGUCCGGCCAGGAGAUCGCUAAGCUGGCUCUGUCCUGGCAGGCCAGGGCGAAUGCCUCCGAGAACGGGGUCGCCUCCGAGGCCAUGAUGGACGCCUGCGUGCGGGAGGCCAUCCAGGAGCACCAACAGAAGAUAUUCCUGCUGAAGGGGGAGGGGCCUGGACGCAGGUUCGAGUGCCCCCUUCUCCUAAGUCCAAGGCGAUAUCCACACCUCAUGGACCUGGCAGCGGACCCCCUCCUUCCCCUGCCUUGCUGGCCCCUGCACAUUUAGGAUAUGCUCCUGGGUGGGGCCUGGGCUGUUCCCAGGGCCUCUGUACACCAGGAUGUCUUGUGCUGGGGGUUGGUCGUUCUGCCCCCCAGGACAACCCCCUCUUGUGGACACUGGCUAGGGAGGGGCAGGCCUCCGUCCUGCUCCCCAGGACGCUCUUGGGAGACGCAUUUUCCAUCUGGCUCAGAGGAGGAGGGGGAGGCUUUGCAAUGCAGCCCCUGCCCAGGCCCCUGGGAGGGUGGGUGCCGGCUGAGCCCCCGGGGCAGCAGGAGUGGGGCGGGCAGGGUCUUUGUUCUCACUCCCACAGCAGAGCCAGAUGUGGGGGCACCUGCUGGGACUAGACCAAGGUGGGGCAGCCUGAACACCGCUUCCAACCGUGGCCAGGAAGCAGGGAACCUGGCCGGCGUGUCUGAGGCCACACUCUCAGCUGGCCGGUCCAAGCCUGCGGCUGGAGCUGGUGUCUGUUUAGCUAAUAAAGUCCCACAGUUGCCUCA